CCUACGGGGGGCAGCAGUGGGGAAUAUUGGACAAUGGGGGCAACCCUGAUCCAGCCAUGCCGCGUGUGUGAAGAAGGCCCUCGGGUUGUAAAGCACUUUCAGUGAGGAAGAACGCCUGGUGGUUAAUACCCAUCAGGAAAGACAUCACUCACAGAAGAAGCACCGGCUAACUCCGUGCCAGCAGCCGCGGUAAUACGGAGGGUGCGAGCGUUAAUCGGAAUUACUGGGCGUGAAGCGCGCGUAGGUGGCUUGAUAAGCCGGUUGUGAAAGCCCCGGGCUCAACCUGGGAACGGCAUCCGGAACUGUCAAGCUAGAGUGCAGGAGAGGAAGGUAGAAUUCCCGGUGUAGCGGUGAAAUGCGUAGAGAUCGGGAGGAAUACCAGUGGCGAAGGCGGCCUUCUGGACUGACACUGACACUGAGGUGCGAAAGCGUGGGUAGCAAACAGGAUUAGAUACCCCAGUAGUC
rnacentral:rRNA from 1 species